AAAUUGAAGAGUUUGAUCAUGGCUCAGAUUGAACGCUGGCGGCAGGCCUAACACAUGCAAGUCGAACGGUAACAGGAAGCAGCUUGCUGCUUUGCUGACGAGUGGCGGACGGGUGAGUAAUGUCUGGGAAACUGCCUGAUGGAGGGGGAUAACUACUGGAAACGGUGGCUAAUACCGCAUAACGUCGCAAGACCAAAGAGGGGGACCUUCGGGCCUCUUGCCAUCAGAUGUGCCCAGAUGGGAUUAGCUUGUUGGUGAGGUAACGGCUCACCAAGGCGACGAUCCCUAGCUGGUCUGAGAGGAUGACCAGCCACACUGGAACUGAGACACGGUCCAGACUCCUACGGGAGGCAGCAGUGGGGAAUAUUGCACAAUGGGCGCAAGCCUGAUGCAGCCAUGCCGCGUGUAUGAAGAAGGCCUUCGGGUUGUAAAGUACUUUCAGCGGGGAGGAAGGUGUUGCGGUUAAUAACCGCAGCAAUUGACGUUACCCGCAGAAGAAGCACCGGCUAACUCCGUGCCAGCAGCCGCGGUAAUACGGAGGGUGCAAGCGUUAAUCGGAAUUACUGGGCGUAAAGCGCACGCAGGCGGUCUGUCAAGUCGGAUGUGAAAUCCCCGGGCUCAACCUGGGAACUGCAUUCGAAACUGGCAGGCUUGAGUCUUGUAGAGGGGGGUAGAAUUCCAGGUGUAGCGGUGAAAUGCGUAGAGAUCUGGAGGAAUACCGGUGGCGAAGGCGGCCCCCUGGACAAAGACUGACGCUCAGGUGCGAAAGCGUGGGGAGCAAACAGGAUUAGAUACCCUGGUAGUCCACGCCGUAAACGAUGUCUACUUGGAGGUUGUGCCCUUGAGGCGUGGCUUCCGGAGCUAACGCGUUAAGUAGACCGCCUGGGGAGUACGGCCGCAAGGUUAAAACUCAAAUGAAUUGACGGGGGCCCGCACAAGCGGUGGAGCAUGUGGUUUAAUUCGAUGCAACGCGAAGAACCUUACCUGGUCUUGACAUCCACAGAACUUUCCAGAGAUGGAUUGGUGCCUUCGGGAACUGUGAGACAGGUGCUGCAUGGCUGUCGUCAGCUCGUGUUGUGAAAUGUUGGGUUAAGUCCCGCAACGAGCGCAACCCUUAUCCUUUGUUGCCAGCGAUUAGGUCGGGAACUCAAAGGAGACUGCCAGUGAUAAACUGGAGGAAGGUGGGGAUGACGUCAAGUCAUCAUGGCCCUUACGACCAGGGCUACACACGUGCUACAAUGGCGCAUACAAAGAGAAGCGACCUCGCGAGAGCAAGCGGACCUCAUAAAGUGCGUCGUAGUCCGGAUUGGAGUCUGCAACUCGACUCCAUGAAGUCGGAAUCGCUAGUAAUCGUGGAUCAGAAUGCCACGGUGAAUACGUUCCCGGGCCUUGUACACACCGCCCGUCACACCAUGGGAGUGGGUUGCAAAAGAAGUAGGUAGCUUAACCUUCGGGAGGGCGCUUACCACUUUGUGAUUCAUGACUGGGGUGAAGUCGUAACAAGGUAACCGUAGGGGAACCUGCGGUUGGAUCACCUCCUUAC
rnacentral:rRNA from 1 species